UACGAGGGGGGCAAGCGUUGUUCGGAAUUAUUGGGCGUAAAGGGCGCGUAGGCGGUGCGGUAAGUCUGUAGUGAAAUCUCUGGGCUCAACUCAGAGUCUGCUGCAGAAACUGCCGGGCUUGAGUAUGGGAGAGGUGAGUGGAAUUUCCGGUGUAGCGGUGAAAUGCGUAGAUAUCGGAAGGAACACCUGUGGCGAAAGCGGCUCACUGGACCAUUACUGACGCUGAGGCACGAAAGCUAGGGGAGCAAACAGG
rnacentral:rRNA from 1 species